rnacentral:rRNA from 1 species
CGUCCCGCCGGCGACCGGCGCACGGGUGAGUAACACGUAUGCAACCUGGCCGCCACAGGGGGAUAACCCGCGGAAACGCGGCCUAAUACCCCGUGACGCCACCGGAGGGCAUCCUCCGGUGGCCAAAGGAGCGAUCCGGUGGCGGAUGGGCAUGCGGCGCAUUAGCUUGUUGGCGGGGUAACGGCCCACCAAGGCGACGAUGCGUAGGGGUUCUGAGAGGAAGGUCCCCCACACUGGUACUGAGACACGGACCAGACUCCUACGGGAGGCAGCAG